AAUGACAAAUAACAAAAAAAUCUCCUUUUUCUCUUGAUCUUCAAUUUAUUUGUAAGUUUACAUACAUUCACCCAGGUAUGUAUACAAAAAAAAAAAAAUGUCUGGAUAGGUUUAUAAGUAAAAAACAUUGUUAAAUAUAGAACUAGUAUAUGUUUUAAUGUGUUAAUACGUUCACUGUCAGUGCUGGCCCAAUAGAUUUCGGGGCUCUGAGCAGAAAUUUGCAGGGCCUCAUAUAUA